rnacentral:rRNA from 1 species
AGUGAACGCUGGCGGUAGGCCUAACACAUGCAAGUCGAACGGCAGCACAGUAAGAGCUUGCUCUUACGGGUGGCGAGUGGCGGACGGGUGAGGAAUACAUCGGAAUCUACUUUUUCGUGGGGGAUAACGUAGGGAAACUUACGCUAAUACCGCAUACGACCUACGGGUGAAAGCAGGGGAUCUUCGGACCUUGCGCGAUUGAAUGAGCCGAUGUCGGAUUAGCUAGUUGGCGGGGUAAAGGCGCACCAAGGCGACGAUCCGUAGCUGGUCUGAGAGGAUGAACAGCCACACUGGAACUGAGAGACGGUCCAGACUCCGACGGGAGGCAGAGGUUGGGAAUAUUGGACGAUGGGCGCAAGCCUGAUCAAGCCAUACCGCGUGGGUGAAGAAGGGCUUCGGGUUGUAUAACCCUUUUGUUGGGAAAGAACAGCAGCAGGUUAAUACCCCGCUGUUCUGACGGUACCCAAAGAAUAAGCACCGGCUAACUUCGUG